UGGUGGAGUGAUUUGUCUGGUUAAUUCCGUUAACGAACGAGACCUCAGCCUACUAAAUAGUGGCGAGAACACUUGUGUUCUUGUACCACUUCUUAGAGGGACAUUCGGUUUCGAGCCGAAGGAAGUUUGAGGCAAUAACA
rnacentral:rRNA from 1 species